rnacentral:misc_RNA from 1 species
GAACUGCGAUAAGUAAUGUGAAUUGCAGAAUUCAGUGAAUCAUCGGGUCUUUGAACGCACAUUGCGCCCCCUGGCAUUCCGGGGGGCAUGCCUGUCCGAGCGUCAUUGCUGCCCUUCAAGCCCGGCUUGUGUGUUGGGUCGUCGUCCCCUCCGGGGGACGGGCCCGAAAGGCAGCGGCGGCACCGCGUCCGGUCCUCGAGCGUAUGGGGCUUUGUCACCCGCUCGAUAAGGACCGGCCGGGCGCCAGCCGGCGUCUCCAACCUUUUUUCUCAGGUUGACCUCGGAUCAGGUAGGGAUACCCGCUGAACUUAAGC